GUCGAAUGACUGGACUUGGAACUUGGAAG
rnacentral:sRNA from 1 species